UUCAGAGGUCCCGAGCGUUGUUCGGAUUUACUGGGCGUAAAGGGAGCGUAGGCGGUUCGGUAUGUCGAAUGUGAAAGCCCACAACUCAACUGUGGAAAUGCAUUCGAAACUGCCGGGCUAGAGUACUGGAGAGGAGAGCGGAAUUCUUGGUGUAGCGGUGAAAUGCGUAGAUAUCAAGAGGAACACCGGUGGCGAAGGCGGCUCUCUGGACAGAUACUGACGCUGAGGCUCUAAAGUUAGGGGAGCAAACAGGAUUAGAUACCCUGGUA
rnacentral:rRNA from 1 species